GAGCGCAGAGAGGGCUCCGAGGCCCCACCCCUCCUUGGGGGUGGGGAGAGCGGGGACUAGGAGUGCUUCGGUGAGCGCUUGCGUCAGCCGCAAGUCUCAGCCGGGUGCAAGAUGCCAGAUGUUGAAACACAAUGCCCAGAGUUGGCCAUCAACACUGGUAAAAGAGUAUUUUAGGAGAGUGAGGAUUUCUUGACCUCAAAGGACAACUGUAGCCAGGACAGAGCUCAGGAUGCAGCAACUUGGGUGGACACAAUCUCAGUCCUGGAGCUCUUCUUGCACCCCAGGAGCUAUGGUCGGCUGCCUGGGAGUUGUCAUUCUGGCUGAGUCUCUGGGAAGGAGAAAAGUGAUGUCUCUGUACUCCAGUUCUAUAAUUUAUAGGUCAAAAAGACGGACAAAUGAAGCACCAAGUGUGGGGGAAGUGUGCUUCUGUGACUUAUAUGAAGCACUCGGUUAUGCCUUUACUUGAAAGUCCUUCAAAUUCUUUAUGUGACCAGAUUCCAAUAAAGCAGCACUCCCCUGCCCCCUUGUCUGUAA